AUUGAACGCUGGCGGCAGGCCUAACACAUGCAAGUCGAGCGGAUGAAGGGAGCUUGCUCCUGGAUUCAGCGGCGGACGGGUGAGUAAUGCCUAGGAAUCUGCCUGGUAGUGGGGGAUAACGUCCGGAAACGGGCGCUAAUACCGCAUACGUCCUGAGGGAGAAAGUGGGGGAUCUUCGGACCUCACGCUAUCAGAUGAGCCUAGGUCGGAUUAGCUAGUUGGUGGGGUAAAGGCCUACCAAGGCGACGAUCCGUAACUGGUCUGAGAGGAUGAUCAGUCACACUGGAACUGAGACACGGUCCAGACUCCUACGGGAGGCAGCAGUGGGGAAUAUUGGACAAUGGGCGAAAGCCUGAUCCAGCCAUGCCGCGUGUGUGAAGAAGGUCUUCGGAUUGUAAAGCACUUUAAGUUGGGAGGAAGGGCAGUAAGUUAAUACCU
rnacentral:rRNA from 1 species